AGUGAAAUAGAACCUGAAACCGUGUACGUACAAGCAGUAGGAGCACCUUCGUGGUGUGACUGCGUACCUUUUGUAUAAUGGGUCAGCGACUUAUAUUCAGUGGCAAGGUUAACCGUAUAGGGGAGCCGUAGCGAAAGCGAGUCUUAACUGGGCGCUCAGUCUCUGGAUAUAGACCCGAAACCGGGUGAUCUAGCCAUGGGCAGGUUGAAGGUUGAGUAACAUCAACUGGAGGACCGAACCGACUAAUGUUGAAAAAUUAGCGGAUGACUUGUGGCUAGGGGUGAAAGGCCAAUCAAACUCGGAGAUAGCUGGUUCUCCCCGAAAGCUAUUUAGGUAGCGCCUCGGACGAAUACUACUGGGGGUAGAGCACUGUUAAGGCUAGGGGGUCAUCCCGACUUACCAACCCUUUGCAAACUCCGAAUACCAGUAAGUACUAUCCGGGAGACACACGGCGGGUGCUAACGUCCGUCGUGGAGAGGGAAACAACCCAGACCGCCAGCUAAGGUCCCAAAGUAUUGCUAAGUGGGAAACGAUGUGGGAAGGCUCAGACAGCUAGGAUGUUGGCUUAGAAGCAGCCAUCAUUUAAAGAAAGCGUAAUAGCUCACUAGUCGAGUCGGCCUGCGCGGAAGAUGUAACGGGGCUAAGCAAUACACCGAAGCUGCGGCAAUAUCUUUUAGAUAUUGGGUAGGGGAGCGUUCUGUAAGCCGUUGAAGGUGAAUCGUAAGGUUUGCUGGAGGUAUCAGAAGUGCGAAUGCUGACAUGAGUAACGACAAAGGGGGUGAAAAACCUCCUCGCCGGAAGACCAAGGGUUCCUGUCCAACGUUAAUCGGGGCAGGGUGAGUCGACCCCUAAGGUGAGGCCGAAAGGCGUAAUCGAUGGGAAACGGGUUAAUAUUCCCGUACUUCUGACUAUUGCGAUGGGGGGACGGAGAAGGCUAGGUGGGCCAGGCGACGGUUGUCCUGGUUCAAGUGCGUAGGCUUGAGAGUUAGGUAAAUCCGGCUCUCUCUAAGGCUGAGACACGACGUCGAGCUGCUACGGCAGUGAAGUCAUUGAUGCCAUGCUUCCAGGAAAAGCCUCUAAGCUUCAGAUAGUCAGGAAUCGUACCCCAAACCGACACAGGUGGUCGGGUAGAGAAUACCAAGGCGCUUGAGAGAACUCGGGUGAAGGAACUAGGCAAAAUGGUACCGUAACUUCGGGAGAAGGUACGCUCUUGAUGGUGAAGUCCCUCGCGGAUGGAGCUGACGAGAGUCGCAGAUACCAGGUGGCUGCAACUGUUUAUUAAAAACACAGCACUGUGCAAAAUCGCAAGAUGACGUAUACGGUGUGACGCCUGCCCGGUGCCGGAAGGUUAAUUGAUGGGGUUAGCGCAAGCGAAGCUCUUGAUCGAAGCCCCGGUAAACGGCGGCCGUAACUAUAACGGUCCUAAGGUAGCGAAAUUCCUUGUCGGGUAAGUUCCGACCUGCACGAAUGGCGUAAUGAUGGCCACGCUGUCUCCACCCGAGACUCAGUGAAAUUGAAAUCGCUGUGAAGAUGCAGUGUACCCGCGGCUAGACGGAAAGACCCCGUGAACCUUUACUACAGCUUGGCACUGAACAUUGAACCUACAUGUGUAGGAUAGGUGGGAGGCUAUGAAGACGUGACGCCAGUUGCGUUGGAGCCGUCCUUGAAAUACCACCCUUGUAUGUUUGAUGUUCUAACUUAGACCCAUUAUCUGGGUUGAGGACAGUGCCUGGUGGGUAGUUUGACUGGGGCGGUCUCCUCCCAAAGAGUAACGGAGGAGCACGAAGGUGGGCUAAUCACGGUUGGACAUCGUGAGGUUAGUGCAAUGGCAUAAGCCCGCUUAACUGCGAGAAUGACGGUUCGAGCAGGUGCGAAAGCAGGUCAUAGUGAUCCGGUGGUUCUGUAUGGAAGGGCCAUCGCUCAACGGAUAAAAGGUACUCCGGGGAUAACAGGCUGAUACCGCCCAAGAGUUCAUAUCGACGGCGGUGUUUGGCACCUCGAUGUCGGCUCAUCACAUCCUGGGGCUGAAGUCGGUCCCAAGGGUAUGGCUGUUCGCCAUUUAAAGUGGUACGCGAGCUGGGUUUAGAACGUCGUGAGACAGUUCGGUCCCUAUCUGCCGUGGGCGUUGGAAGAUUGAAGGGGGCUGCUCCUAGUACGAGAGGACCGGAGUGGACGAACCUCUGGUGUUCGGGUUGUGUCGCCAGACGCAUUGCCCGGUAGCUAAGUUCGGAAUUGAUAAGCGCUGAAAGCAUCUAAGCGCGAAGCGAGCCCUGAGAUGAGUCUUCCCUGAUACUUUAAGUAUCCUAAAGGGUUGUUCGAGACUAGAACGUUGAUAGGCAGGGUGUGUAAGCGUUGUGAGGCGUUGAGCUAACCUGUACUAAUUGCCCGUGAGGCUUAACCAU
rnacentral:rRNA from 1 species